rnacentral:rRNA from 1 species
CACGUAGGGCGCAAGCGUUGUCCGGAAUUAUUGGGCGUAAAGAGCUCGUAGGUGGUUUGUUACGUCCGCUGUGAAAUCCUAGGGCUUAACCCUGGGCUUGCAGUGGAUACGGGCAGACUAGAGGUAGGUAGGGGAGAAUGGAAUUCCUGGUGUAGCGGUGAAAUGCGCAGAUAUCAGGAGGAACACCGGUGGCGAAGGCGGUUCUCUGGGCCUUACCUGACACAGAGGAGCGAAAGCGUGGGGAGCGAACAGG